rnacentral:misc_RNA from 1 species
ACGUGCGUGCGCAUACACACCACCCCUCACCUCGCUGCUGCUGCUGUGACAUCUCUACGGACCCUGCCCAGUCGCUGCGCCCCCGCCGCUCGCCUCUGUCCCCCGCAGGAGGCUGCGUACGACGUGCCGGCCACCCCGCUCUGCCCGAUAAGCUGAACUGGCGCUCACGCCCGAGCAAUCCCGCCCACGGACCUGCUGCCGCCCCGCACUGCUCUUGACCCUGGCUGCGAAUGGCGCUGUGCGUGCGUCGGCUGGUGCUGGCGGCGACCCUCGCCGCUGUGGUGGCGCUGCUGCUGUGCACGAGCAGUGCGCCGGUGGCGCGUGCUGCUGAGACGGGCGGCUUCACUGCUGCGCAGCGGACGAACACGCUGACGGUGCUGGAGGCGUUUGGGCGUGCGAUCCCUGAGCUUGGGAAGAAGUGGACGGGCGACGACUUCUGCUCGUGGGAGUCCGUCAUGUGCGAUAGGACAGGAGUGUUCGUCUCGGGAAUCGGUGCGACGUAUGCCGGCACGCUGCCGGAGAUGCCUGUGGGCGUCGACUACACGGCCGUCAUGAUCAAGCAGCUCGACUUUUCUGAAGUGGGGCUGGGGCUGAGCGGGACGCUGCCGGCCAGCUGGAGCAGGCUGCAGGGACUGACCAAUCUUACGUUGUCGGGCUGCGGCGUGGGUGGUACGCUGCCCGCCUCAUGGAGGUUGCUGACUCAGCUGACGGAGUUGAGGAUAGAAAGAUGCGGGCUUUUCACCGGUACGCUCCCGCCUGAGUGGAGCUUGUUGAGGGCCCUGUGGUAUCUGGAUCUGAGGAAUAUGAAGCUGAGCGGGACGCUGCCGCCCCAGUGGAGCUCGAUGACAUCAUUACGGACGCUGUCGCUUCGAGACCUAAGCGACAUCAGCGGCACGCUGCCGCCCGAGUGGAAAUCGAUGAAAUCAAUUGUCUAUCUGUACGUUACCAAAUCGAGGGUCAGCGGCUCACUGCCCGUUGAGUGGAGGGAGAUGGCGACUGUGAGGGAGUUUUCGUUUCGGGAAUCGUCGUUGUCCGGCCCCCUCCCUCCUCAGUGGAGCAGCAUCAAGACGCUGAGGAGAGUGUACCUGGCGAACACUGACAUCUCCGGCACGCUGCCGUCCAGCUGGAAAGCCCUGACCGGUGUUGAUCACCUGCACUUAGAGGACACCAAGCUCUCCGGCACGCUGCCGCCUGAGUGGAUAUCGAUGUCGUCGCUUGCGCAGCUCUUUCUGAGCAGCUCGCUGGUUGAGGGCACGCUGCCGCCCCAGUGGAGCUCGAUGAAAAAGCUUCAGCUGCUGCUGCUCGCCAAUACGUUGCUGUCCGGCACGCUUCCUGCUGAGUGGAGUGCGCUGCAGUCGCUUGUUACACUGCAGCUGUCUGGCAGUAAGGUCUCCGGCACGCUGCCGGCCGGGUGGAGUGGGAUGUCGAAGGCCCAGUCCCUGCAGCUGGAGAACUGCGACCUGUCCGGCAAUCUCCCCUCCAAGUGGGCUGCGAUGCCGAAGCUGCUUCGUGUGGACCUGAACGGCAACCAGUUCUGCGGGUGUGUGCCGGACUCUUGGGCCCAGAAGGUUUCUCUCGAGGUGAACAUCGAGGACCAGCACAAGGGCAGGGACUGCAGGAUUGGUAACGACUGCCGCACGACUGCUGCUCCGCAAACGACCACUACCACCACCGUUAAACCGCCCACCACGACCACCACUGAACCGCCCACCACGACAACGACCACCACGACAACGACCACCACUAAACCGCCCACCACGACCACCACUAAACCGCCCACCACGACAACGACCACCACUGCACCGCCCACCACGACAACGACCACGACGACAACGACCACCACUAAACCGCCCACCACGACCACCACUAAACCGCCCACCACCACGACCACAACAACUACUCAGCCGCCGACUGCACCCCCCACCACGACCACUGAGGCAACGUCUGAACCCACGACCACUGCGAGCCCAACAGCCACGCCUACUCCUGCCCCCGAGACGGAGUGCGAGGUGGAUGGGUGUGAGGUGUGCGAGGGGGACUCCGCGGCGAGGUGCGCCAGGUGCGCUGCGGACUACUUCCUGACGAGCGAGAAGACGUGCCUGGUGUACUGCGAUGGCGGCGUUGUGGCCGCGACGAGCGGAGUGGCUGCUGCCGCUGUUGUGUGCAUGGCUGUGCUGCUGAGCGUGGGGCUGGCGGCGUGAGGAUGCCGCUGCUGUCUCGGUGUCGCUCCUCUGCCCUGACUCUCUCUCCCGCCCGCGUGUGUGCCUGUGGGCUGAUGGGGGCGGAGCGCGGGUGUGUGUGGAGCGGGGCAGCCGCUGCAGAGAGGGGGAGGGCGGUAGCCGAUGUGCAAGGGCCGCGGUGUUUGUGCGGCCAUGUGCGGGUGUGCGGCACACGCGGCGCUGCGGGCAUCGGCCUCGGACCGACAGCCCGCACCCCCUCCGUCGCCUCCACUUCUCCCCUCGAGCACGCGAUGGCGGCACUGGCGCCCCUUGCUCUGCUGUGCACUCGUGCGCCCGCCCCGCCGCUUCUUUUCCGUUUGUGUUGUGUUCUCUCUCCUCCCUCUCGUUGAUGUACGUCUGCGCGUGUGGCUGUGCUGGCACGCCUUGCCGCGCCCCUUGCGCCGCUGCCAUCGGCGGCUUCGUCGCUGACGCUGCCGCUCGCACGCGUGCUCGGGCCGUCUGUGCAGCAGCGGUGGUGUGCCGGAGUCGGCGGCACGCCGUCGAACCCUGAUUGGCGCCUCCGCCAGGUGCGACGGGGAAGCUGGGGGGAUGGGGAGGGCGUGGGUGCCCUCGUGCGCGGCAUGCGGGGAGGCGCGUGCGGCGGCGCUCUACUGCGCUGAGUAGUGAGGCUCGGUGCACGCGGCGCGAUGGCACGCAGCCUCGCUACCGGGCCACCCCGCUGUGCGUACGCAGCGGGUGAGCAGGCCCGUGCUCUCCCCUGCACCUUGCCCCUCUCCCCCACCCUCCUCUCUCGCAUGCCGGCGAGGGAGGGGUGGCACGUGCGCGUGUGCCGCUGCGCUUGCGAGUGCGUCUGUGCGUGGGCCCUCACCACGUGCUCCGGUCACGCCUUUUCGGCUGGCCACUCGCGGCGCUGAGGGCGGUGUGCCCCUCCCCCGAGCGCCGUCGCACUCUCUUCCGCGCGCCUGCGCGGGCUUCUUCGUGCGCUGUGCUCAGCCGUGCGCUCUCACCUCUUUCCCUUUUCAUUCGCUUGUCUUCUCUCUUCUCCCCCCGCACUGCGGUCUCCCCUCCUCUGCCGUGCGGUGCGCAG